ensembl:lncRNA
UGUGGCCGCUGUGGUGGCUCUCGCUGUCGAAGCUCAUAGGCGAGGUUUAAAUCAGUUGUGGUUGUUUUUUCGUACAAAAACUCAUCCGACUAGCAGAGAUACAUUAUGGUGGGUUGCAGAACAACAGAUUGUGUGUCUGCAUACCAGGGACUGUGGUGGGAAGUGGCUGAACUACAGCCCAUUAAAAACUCAACAGUCGCUGAUGUUCCUCUUUAGUAUUUACAAUCCAGAGACAGGUCCUUAUGCAUGUAGGGGUUACACUGUGAAUACAGAUACAGGUCAUGUAGGGGGUUAGACAGUGAAUACAGAGACAGGUCAUUAAGGAGCAUGUAGGGGUUAGACAGUGAAUACAGAGACAGGACAUUAAGGAGCAGGUAGGGGUUAGACAGUGAAUACAGAGACAGGUCAUUAAGGAGCAGGUAGGGGUUAGACAGUGAAUACAGAGACAGGUCAUUAAGGAGCAGGUAGGGGUUAGACAGUGAAUACAGAGACAGGACAUUAAGGAGCAGGUAGGGGUUAGACAGUGAAUACAGAGACAGGUCAUUAAGGAGCAGGUAGGGGUUAGACAGUGAAUACAGAGACAGGUCAUUAAGGAGCAGGUAGGGGUUAGACAGUGGAUACAGAGACAGGACAUUAAGGAGCAUGUAGGGGUUAGACACUGAAUACAGACAGGUCAUUAAGGAGCAGGUAGGGGUUAGACACUGAAUACAGAGACAGGUCCUUAAGGAGCAGGUAGGGGUUAGACAGUGAAUACAGAGACAGGUCGUUAAGGAGCAGGUAGGGGUUAGACAGUGAAUACAGAGACAGGUCGUUAAGGAGCAGGUAGGGGUUAGACAGUGAAUACAGAGACAGGUCGUUAAGGAGCAGGUAGGGG